CUCCCAAGGAUUCCCAGGCACCACCCUCUUAUACAAAUAGCUGUCAAAGGUCAUCUUCUGCACAUACUCAUCUGCGCACAUCUCCACAAAAGCCUCCCUCGCCGGGUUCGACCUAUAAAACACCUUCUGCAACACAUCCAACACCUUAUAAGUAGGCCAGUAAGUCUUGUCCCACUUCUCCAAGUACUUCCUUAAAUCCGCCUCAUUUACCAUCCUCUUUCCAUUCUCCGACCCCUCAACUAUUGCCUCUGCACACAUCCUACCACUCUUUGCUGCAAAGUAGAUGCCUUCACCUGAACAUUUUGUCACAUACCCAGCUGCAUCACCAACAAGUGCUACUCUGCCUGCUAACCUUCGUGGGCGGGGGUGUUCGGGAAUUGGAUGCGCCUCCACUCGCAGGAUUUUGCCACCUAGUAUCUUGUCCUUGGCUCUGUUUCUUGUUGCAAGUUGGAAUUUCUUGAUGUCUCCUUUGUGAGUCACAGUGCCGGUACCAACUGCUACAUGGUCACAUUUGGGGAACACCCACCCGUAAAAGUCCGGUGAGACAUCAUCACCAACAUACAUCUCAGCAAGAUUCUCAUAGUACACCAUUUUAUCAUCAGGGAUUUUGAUUCUCUCCUGCAAAAGGCAGAAACCAAGAAUUUAAUUAGAAUGGAUCAACACUGAACCAAGUGUAAACAUUUAAUCAUACUUCAGCAAUGCAGCCGGGGUUUAGCCUUUUACCAAAAUUUUGACCAAGUAUAGAAAAUACAACUAAAACUUUAAACUAGCUAAUCAUUCAGUAACAUUUUCUCUAAAAGGGUUUUUCUUGUUCUGUAUGCUAAGCUAACUACGUUUUUCAGGACAAAUUAGAAAUGCAUACCAAAAACCAUGUCUCAAUUUUGAGUUACUCACAUAGAUACAGUCAAUUCAGCCAAAUAAAUACCAAGAAAAGAAAAUACUUUUAUGCAAGCAGCCAGAAUGUUAGAAAACAACUUCAAAUCAAAGAAUGUGCCUAGUACGUUAACACAAAGCACAACAAUUGAGUGCAAAUUGAAUUAGAAGUUGCUUUCUUCCUCUAAGUUUUAUAAUCAAAUUGCAAUUUCCUGCGAACAACUCCCACAUGCAAAGCUCACAGAGCAAGCAUUAACUGAUAAUUUAAAACAAAGCAAGUUCAUAAUUACCUGAAAGGCAAUGGCAUACUCAUAAUCACCAGCGUCAAUACUCUUAGCCACUCUAGAAUUAGCUCCAUCAGCUCCAAUCACAGCAUCAACCUCCAAACUCUUCUUCACACCAGCCCCACCGACCUUCCCAUCAUACUCUGUGUAAUGCAGAACGUACGGCGCUUCCCCAUCUCCCGGUUUCUCCAUCUUCAGAAACAACCCAUUUAUCACAGUCGCCCCAUUCUCACUCGCCCUGUUCCUCAAGUACUGGUCCAGCACCUCACGCCUCACCAUCCCAAUGUACUCGUGCGGCUUCAGAGUUUGACCAAUGUCAACUGCCACAUUGGACGGCGAAAUCAUCUUCAUCUUGGUGACCCGGCGGUCGAUGAUGUCCAAUGGGAGGUCAAAUUCACCCACCAUGCAGAGCGGGAUUGCGCCGCCGCAGGGCUUACAGUUGUCCAUUUUUCGCUCGAUUAGGAACGUCUCGAUGCCGCCUUUGGCGAGGGUCUCAGCGGCGGAGCCGCCUGCCGGGCCACCUCCGACGACGGCGACCCUGAGGUUUCGACCCGUGACUUUUGGGCUGGUUUUGGCGGCAUUGACCUGGAGCCUCCGGUGGAUUGAAGGGUUUAGAGAAAUGGGUUUUGCUUGGAUUGUGAAAUGGGGCUUUUCUGCGGAGGCUUGGCGGAGUCCGAUGAAGGACUUGAGAGC
rnacentral:lncRNA from 1 species